rnacentral:rRNA from 1 species
AGGAUGAACGCUGGCGGCGUGCCUAAUACAUGCAAGUCGAGCGAACAGAUAAGGAGCUUGCUCCUUUGACGUUAGCGGCGGACGGGUGAGUAACACGUGGGUAACCUACCUAUAAGACUGGGAUAACUUCGGGAAACCGGAGCUAAUACCGGAUAACAUUUGGAACCGCAUGGUUCUAAAGUGAAAGAUGGUUUUGCUAUCACUUAUAGAUGGACCCGCGCCGUAUUAGCUAGUUGGUAAGGUAACGGCUUACCAAGGCGACGAUACGUAGCCGACCUGAGAGGGUGAUCGGCCACACUGGAACUGAGACACGGUCCAGACUCCUACGGGAGGCAGCAGUAGGGAAUCUUCCGCAAUGGGCGAAAGCCUGACGGAGCAACGCCGCGUGAGUGAUGAAGGGUUUCGGCUCGUAAAACUCUGUUAUUAGGGAAGAACAAACGUGUAAGUAACUGUGCACGUCUUGACGGUACCUAAUCAGAAAGCCACGGCUAACUACGUGCCAGCAGCCGCGGUAAUACGUAGGUGGCAAGCGUUAUCCGGAAUUAUUGGGCGUAAAGCGCGCGUAGGCGGUUUCUUAAGUCUGAUGUGAAAGCCCACGGCUCAACCGUGGAGGGUCAUUGGAAACUGGGAAACUUGAGUGCAGAAGAGGAAAGUGGAAUUCCAUGUGUAGCGGUGAAAUGCGCAGAGAUAUGGAGGAACACCAGUGGCGAAGGCGACUUUCUGGUCUGUAACUGACGCUGAUGUGCGAAAGCGUGGGGAUCAAACAGGAUUAGAUACCCUGGUAGUCCACGCCGUAAACGAUGAGUGCUAAGUGUUAGGGGGUUUCCGCCCCUUAGUGCUGCAGCUAACGCAUUAAGCACUCC